rnacentral:rRNA from 1 species
UACGUAGGGUGCAAGCGUUGUCCGGAAUUACUGGGCGUAAAGGGUCUGUAGGUGGCUUGCUAAGUCAGACGUGAAAUCCCUCAGCUUAGCUGGGGAACUGCGUCUGAGACUGGCGAGCUUGAGGGCAGGAGAGGAACGCGGAAUUCCAGGUGUAGCGGUGAAAUGCGUAGAUAUCUGGAGGAACACCGGUGGCGAAGGCGGCGUUCUGGACUGCAUCUGACACUGAAAGACGAAAGCCAGGGGAGCAAACGGG